rnacentral:rRNA from 1 species
AACGAACGCUGGCGGCGCGCCUAAUACAUGCAAGUCGAGCGAGAAGACGUAGCAAUACGUUUGUAAAGCGGCGAACGGGUGAGGAAUACAUGGGUAACCUACCCUCGAGUGGGGAAUAACUAGCCGAAAGGUUAGCUAAUACCGCGUACGCUUCUUGGACUUCGGUUCAGGGAGGAAAGCGAUACCGUGGGUAUCGCGCUCUUGGAUGGGCUCAUGUCCUAUCAGCUUGUUGGUGAGGUAACGGCUCACCAAGGCUUCGACGGGUAGCUGGUCUGAGAGGACGAUUAGCCACACUGGCACUGCGACACGGGCCAGACUCCUACGGGAGGCAGCAGUAAGGAAUAUUGCGCAAUGGGCGAAAGCCUGACGCAGCGACGCCGCGUGGGGGA